rnacentral:hammerhead_ribozyme from 1 species
GCACUACUGAGGAGUCCCAUACUAGGACGAAACGGCUGUCUAGUGC